ACAGAGAAAGCGGAAGUUCUGGGGUAACUUGAAAGGAGGCCUGAGAAUUUGUAAAGACCUUGUUUAGCCUCCUCCCGAGGAUCAGGAGAGAUGCUUAGUUGUUAAGAUCAAUGGCUGCUCUUCCGGAGGAUGAGGUUCAAUUCUCAGCUACCCACAUGGUAGCUCUCAACCAUGUGUAGCUCUAGUUCCAGUGACCUGAAAACCUCUCCUAGCCUCCUGAAAACGGAAGCUGCAAGGUUUUCAAGGCUAACAAGAAUAUUGUUAAAGUGGAUAAAUGAGAGACGCGGGUUUACAGAGCUCGUCCCUCCCACAAAAUGCGUAAGUGCAGAACACAAGCACUGAGAAAUGGCUGGCAGCUCAUUCAUCUGUAACAUGCAUGGGUGCAGGCUGUGGAGUUCUAUAUAGACAGAUCACAUACGCUAGCAAACGAAGCUAUCUACAGAAGCGGAAACUUCAUAUUUCCGUCUAAAACAAGAAGCUCUUAUCACAACUUUCAGAUGUGAAACGUAAUCAUAUAUGCAACACGCAAAGCUUCACUGGAGAGAGGAGCCCUGACGUGACUUCCUAGAGGACUAAAGAAGAAAACGGUGGAUCAUACACUAGAGAGACGGGUAUACAUGAGGCAGAAGGAGCGAUUGAAGCUGGAGUGAACGGUCGCUUGAACGGUCACUUGAGACCUCAUUGUGACAGCGGGACAGUCAGUACGUUUAAGGAAGACCACUGGUAAUGAUCAAAUGUUCUACGUUUUCACGUCCUGCCUUCAUCUGUGUCCCCGUCUCUUCCCUUGCUGCUUCUCUCCUGAAACUCCCAACCACAUGGGCGCAUGCGUGCGCAGCCACUGCAAGCCUAGUCUUUCCCUUCUAUUUAGUUCCAGUGUUUCCCACACACAGGAGUUUUAGGAAUCCAAUAUACUUUUAUUAGAACAAAUGGAUAUUUUAAAUGUAUUUAUCACUAUAUAUAAUUACUAUAUAUAUGUAUGUGUGUGUAUAUAUAUACAUAUUUAUAUAUAUAUAAUGUAUGUGUAAGUGUAUACACACCACACACACACACACACACACACACACACACACACACACACACACAUAUAUAUAUAUAAUUCACAGUGGAAAUUUAUUUAGUUAUGGGUUAAGCACUAACUUGGUUUCCAUGACAGCGGAGAUACAAGACAGUGCCAUAUUGUGUCAGUCAUUUUUAUGGUCACUUAAGGAGGAGCGGUUGGGAUCAAAGACUCUUUUCAAACCUGAUGGCAGUAAUGCUUCAUUCCAGGAUUAAACACUGUUUACUCAAUUCAGUUGAACCAAAAAAAGAAAAAAACAUAUUAAGGAAGAUAUCCCACUAGACUGAUGUUUUAAUCCUAGGAUACCUUUUUAACUCUUUAACAUCUAUCCAUUUAUUCUUAUUAAAGCCCUAAACAAAAAACCCAAGACUCCAA